UAAGGAACUUGGUUCCUCAAAUAACUUCUGGCACAGACAUCUGAGGGCAUGGCCGUCCAAGAAGAAAAUGUAGCCAUUGUUGCCAUCUAUCGACCACAGGUUAAAGAUUGGCGAUCCGUUGGAUGCCGACCGAGUUAUAGGCAAAAUUUGGUGCAAAAAUGAGGAAAAUUUUACAUUUUCUCAAACAGGGUAAGGAACUUGGUUCCUCAAAUAACUUCUGGCACAGACAUCUGAGGGCAUGGCCGUCCAAGAAGAAAAUGUAGCCAUUGUUGCCAUCUAUCGACCACAGGUUAAAGAUUGGCGAUCCGUUGGAUGCCGACCGAGUUAUAGGCAAAAUUUGGUGCAAAAAUGAGGAAAAUUUUACAUUUUCUCAAACAGGGUAAGGAACUUGGUUCCUCAAAUAACUUC